UCCCAGACUCCUACGGGAGGCAGCAGUGAGGAAUAUUGGUCAAUGGGCGGAAGCCUGAACCAGCCAAGUCGCGUGAGGGACUAAGGCCCUGCGGGUCGUAAACCUCUUUUGCCGGGGAGCAGUGGUCCGGACGCGUCCGGACCGGGAGAGUACCCGGAGAAUAAGCAUCGGCUAACUCCGUGCCAGCAGCCGCGGUAAUACGGAGGAUGCGAGCGUUAUCCGGAUUUAUUGGGUUUAAAGGGUGCGUAGGCGGAUUUUUAAGUCAGCGGUAAAAUGUCCGGGCUCAACCCGGGCCGGCCGUUGAAACUGGGGAUCUUGAGUGGGCGAGAAGUAUGCGGAAUGCGUGGUGUAGCGGUGAAAUGCAUAGAUAUCACGCAGAACUCCGAUUGCGAAGGCAGCAUACCGGCGCCCGACUGACGCUGAGGCACGAAAGCGUGGGGAUCGAACAGGAUUAGAUACCCUAGUA
rnacentral:rRNA from 1 species